GAUGAACGCUGGCGGCGUGCCUAAUACAUGCAAGUCGAGCGAACGGACGAGAAGCUCGCUUCUCUGAUGUUAGCGGCGGACGGGUGGGUAACACGUGGAUAACCUACCUAUAAGACUGGGAUAACUUCGGGAAACCGGAGCUAAUACCGGAUGAUAUUUUGAACCGCAUGGUUCAAAAGUGAAAGACGGUCUUGCUGUCACUUAUAGAUGGAUCCGCGCUGCAUUAGCUAGUUGGUAAGGUAACGGCUUACCAAGGCAACGAUGCAUAGCCGACCUGAGAGGGUGAUCGGCCACACUGGAACUGAGACACGGUCCAGACUCCUACGGGAGGCAGCAGUAGGGAAUCUUCCGCAAUGGGCGAAAGCCUGACGGAGCAACGCCGCGUGAGUGAUGAAGGUCUUCGGAUCGUAAAACUCUGUUAUUAGGGAAGAACAUAUGUGUAAGUAACUGUGCACAUCUUGACGGUACCUAAUCAGAAAGCCACGGCUAACUACGUG
rnacentral:rRNA from 1 species